GUCUCACAUCCAGAUCACGCUGAUUCAAGAGGUGGAUUCCCAUGUUCUUCGGCUGCUCCACCCCUGUGACUUUGCAAGAAAACUUGUGGUGGAAGAAUGGUUUUCGCAUUUGUCGUUGCAGCAGUGGGUUAAAAGUUGCAAGAUAUCUGUUUUUUUCUUCAAAAUCAACUGGCAAACAGCAGAAGACGUUUUAUCUUUCAUGCAUGAAUGCAGCAAGGGGUGCUUAGAAGCGAAGCAUCCUGCUAGUUCCUCUUCCUGAGAAUCAUCAGCUGCCAGGUUCUCCAGCACUGUGUUCCCAGGUUUGCUAUGAAGAAAGCCAUCAUUCUACCAUCAAAAUACAUUUAUGAAGAUGAAGUGAGAUUGGCAAAGAGAAAACUGAAUGUCCCUGAAUAAAACCUCUGUAUCUGGAUAAUUACGUUUCUGUGAAUCAUUUUUGAGAAGUUUGUACAUUUCAAGAUUUCAUUUUGGAACUGAAAUGAAAAUGAAAGAAUCUGUUCUUAUAAGAUUUGCAGAAAUUCUUCUGACUGAAAUGGUCUAGAUGGCUGAUACAAGUACAUGAACUUUUUCACUUUUUCAUAAAGCCUCUUCUGCCUCCGUUACUUUGCCAGCCAUCUACCUUGCAGCUGUUAUGUCUGACUUCAUUCUUGAUUUCUCCCACCUGAUUUCUUUCUUUCUUUCUUUUUUUUAAGUCCACUUUAUUUCUCUUGCUAAUCACACUCCUCUCCUUUCUCCUGGAGGUAAUCAUGAUCUGACUUUUAUGUUAAUCAUUCUCACUUUUUCUUUUCUUUCUUCUUCUUUUUUUUUUCAGUUAUACUUUGAGUUCUGGGAUACAUGUGCAAAACGUGCUGGUUUGUUACAUAGGUAUACAUGUGCCAUGGUGGUUUGCUGCACCCAUCAACCCGUCAUCUACAUUAGGUAUUUCUUCUAAUGCUAUCCCUCCCCUACCCCACAACCCCUGCUUUCUUAUUACAAACUUUUGUGUCUGACUUCACCAAAGUAUGAGCUUUUUACUCAUUUCUCAACGUAUUGCAAACAUGGAGGCCAAAACCCUCUUUUGAUUAACGUAACCUCUUUUCAAGAUUUCCAAUAUUCGAGCUUCCUCCUCUCUAACCUGAUCAAACUCUAUUUACAUCUUCUUUCCUAGUUGAUCUGAUUACAGUAGAGACUUAAUUUUUAAAAAUUAUGUCUGAGUAAAACUAGUGUUAUCUAUCAGUAGGCAUUAUAAUACAAAAGUGCUGGGAAGCACUUUAAAUAAUGCCGAAGGGAGGAAGGGAAGUGCUGGGUAGAGGAGAGUGUGGUCCCUGGCUAAGGCUCCACCCCCACAGACCUAAGUGAAGACAGACACUCCUGCCUUCCCACUCAAAUGUUACAUUUCCCAAGACCACCCUGGCUCACCACACCCCCAUCCUGGGCCUAUAAAAACCCGAGAUCCUAGCAGGCAGGCACAGAGGUGGCCAGACAUCCAGAGGAGCACAUCCGCAGAAGAAAAAGCAAGGGGAUGUGGAGAGGAGCAUGUCAGCAGUCACCUGCUCACCAGCGAGCCAUCGACCAGCAGAACAACGCGAAGUUGGGCCGGGGCAGUGGAGGAGAGCCCGAGCCGCCAGCGGCCCGACUCCAGGUGAAAACCAUUUCCCUUCUGGCUCCCCGCUCUGCUGAGAGCUAUUUGCACUCAAUAAAACCUUGCACUCAUUCUCCCAUCCCACAUAUGAUCCGAUUCUUCCUGUACACCAGAGCGAAAGCCCUGGGAUACAGAAGUACCUCUGUGCUUGUGAUAAGGAAAGGGCUGUAAUUGAGCUGGUUAACACAAGCCGCCUAUAGAUGGCAAACUAAGAGAGCGCCCCGUAACACGCGCCCACUGGGGCUUCAGCUCUAAAUAUUCACACCUAGACACUGCCAUGGGGUCGGAGCCCCACAGCCUGCCCUUCUGUAUGCUCCCCUAGAGGUUUGAGCAGUGGGGCACUGAAGAAGCGAGCUCCCAUCGCACGUCCUGCGAGAGGGACAAGGGAAACUUUCCCGUUUCAAUUAUUGUAUAUCACUCACUUCUUUUGCUCAUUUCUAUUUUUGAAAUAAUUUUCCAUGUAUCUGGCAGAGUUUUGUGAGGACGUUAGUUUACUGAAAACUAUUUUGUGUAAUAUAUUGUUGACUUGGGAAAGUUUGUUUAUCGGGCUUAUUUCUGGGAGCAGAUCAAAAUUUUAGUGGAAUGUCGUGUAUAUGCUCUUUGAGCACUGGGAAAGAAUGUGUGUUCAGCUGUUAUUGAGUAGAGUGUUCUAAAAAUAUGAAUUAGCUCAAGUUGGUUGACAGUUUUAUUCAGGUCAUCUACAUUCUUAUUGGCCUAAUACUCAUUUGUUCUGUCAAAUACUGAGGAAAGGUAUUGCAGUUGCCAACCAUAAAUUUAUCAAUUUGCCUUUCCAAAUCCAUUUUUGUCACGUGUGUUUUGAAAUUCUAUUGUUAGAUACACUUACGUUUAGAAUUACUAUAUCUUUUUGAAAAACUAUCCCUUUUAUCAGUAUGUAAUGACUCUCUUUAUCCCUGAUCAUAUUUUUUUUCUGAAAUUUAUUUUUUCUGAUACUAAUAUAACUAUAUCUGUUCUCGGAGUUAGUGUUUGUAUGGUAUAUUCCUUUUACAGCCUUUAGUUUUUAGCCUAUGUUUUUAUAUUUGGAGUGAGUUUUGUUAAAAAAAAAAAGCUUAUGUUUUUAUCAGUUUAUAUGGUAUUCAGCAGCUUGUGUUCCAAGUAAAUAGUUUGUUUCUAUUCAGGUAUCUGUCCCAUUCUGAAUUUGAGGUUAGUUGUUUGCCAUGUGACUCCAGUUUUUUGAUGGAUUCAAGGAAUAUUAUUAAACGUGCUUUGACCCACUUUUUUCUGGUUAUGAAGGUAUAAGUUAUGAUACAUAUAUAUACAAUUUAUGUGGCUUUUUAUUUUUUGUAGGUAUUUCAGUACAGUGUUAAUUACGGUGAUACUAAACAUCUUUAUAUUCUUUUCUCAUUUCAAGGAGUAAGCUUUAAAUAUUUCUUCAUAAGCUGGAAAGCCUUUUCCUAUUUAUUUUCUAGAAGAGUUUGUGUAAAUUGGUGUUAGUUAUCCCUUCCUUAAAUAAUUAGUGGAACUCAAUGAUACAGUUUUCUGUGUCUAGAUUUUUUUUAGUGUGUGUAAAUAUUUAUUAUUAAGUGUAUAAUUAAGUUAAUAAAUACAAAACUAUUUUCAUUGUAGUUCUUUUGAAUGGAUUUUGUGGUGUUUUCUAGAAAGACUGUCAUUUCAUUUAAAAUUCAUUUCAUUUGAAAAUAAUUUUUCAUAAUAUCCUACAACUUUCUGAUUAAUACCUAAAAAAUGUAUAAUGGUGAUACUUUUUUCUUUUUUUCUUUCCUGAUAUUAAUUUCUGCCUUUCUCUUUCUUAUCAUAUUUGCCACUGGUUUAUUAAUUUCAUUCUUUUUUUAAAAAACAACUUUGGGCUUUGUUGAUACUUAUUUUACAUUUGUAUUAUAGUUUAUUGUUAUUUUUAUACUUAUUUCCAUAGUUUUGUGGGAAACAGGUGGUAUUUGGUUACAUGAGUACAAUUUAGUAUGUUUUGCUAUUUUCUUUGUUAUUUAAUAUUUUCUAAUACCUUUAGUUUUUGAGAUCAAUACACUCCUCAAUAUAUUAGUUUUCAGCCAUUCAUUUUCACAAAUUUGUUUAUGGAUGUAAAUUUUCCUCUAAACACUUGAUUUGUAGCAUUGUAUAGGUAUUGAUAUAACAUUUUUUCAUUAUCUUUCAAUUAAUAUAUUGUCUAAUUCUAAUUGUUAUUGAUUCUUUAGACCAUGGAUUAUUUAUAAAUGUGUUGUUAACUUUCCUAAUAAUUACGGAUUUCUUGUUAUUUUCUUACCCAUUUCUAUGUGCUUUCAGGAGUAGAGACAGACAAUUAUCUGUAAGCUUUUUAUUCUUUGAAAUUUGAUGAGAUUAGAUUUAGGUUCUAGAACCUAUAUAUGUUCUAGGAUUAUUUGGAGAUAUGUUUCACAUGAAUAUGAAAAGAAAUUGCUAUGCACAGUGUUUUAUAAAUGGCAAUUCAAUAAAAACUUUUACUUUUUAAAAAAAUCUUCUAUAUCCUUACUGAAUUCUUAAUAUAUUUUCUCUAAGUUACUGAGAAAAAUGUGUUAAAUCUCAUUUGCUGUUGUUGAUUUUUCUAUUUCUCCUCAUCCUAUAAAGUGUUGCUUUUUAUAUUUAGCAGUAUGUUUACAGGGCUAUAGUACAAUUG
rnacentral:lncRNA from 10 species